UACGGAGGAUCCGAGCGUUAUCCGGAUUUAUUGGGUUUAAAGGGUGCGCAGGCGGGAUGUUAAGUCGGCGGUGAAAUUUUGCAGCUCAACUGUAAAAGUGCCUUCGAUACUGGCUUCCUUGAGUGUGGAUGAAGUAGGCGGAAUUUGUGGUGUAGCGGUGAAAUGCUUAGAUAUCACGAGGAACUCCGAUUGCGCAGGCAGCUUACUAAGCCACAACUGACGCUCAUGCACGAAGGCGUGGGGAUCAAACAGGAUUAGAUACCCUGGUAGUCCACGCAGUAAACGAUGAUUACUGGUUGUUUGCGAUACAAUGCAAGCGACUGAGCGAAAGCGUUAAGUAAUCCACCUGGGGAGUACGUUCGCAAGAAUGAAACUUAAAGGAAUUGGCGG
rnacentral:rRNA from 1 species